rnacentral:tRNA from 1 species
GUUUUUGUAGUUGAAUAACAACGGUGGUUCUUCAAGUCAAUAGUCCUGGUUAGAAUCUGGGCAGAAACU